CUAAUGCGCUCCACUACACUUCUAAGUUUUAACAUCUCAUCAUCAGAUCUUCCAUGUUUUUUUUGUUCUCUUUCUUUCGUUAGUAGUAGUAUAGGGUUUCUGAUCGAUGUUGUGUUUGUGUGAUAUUCUUCUAAUAAAACCCGACGGGCCUCUGAUGUUUGUUUCCAACUCGAUCUCGACACCCUGUCGUUCCGACUAGUGGAAUCUUCAUUCUAGGGUUUAUUCAAUCUAUCUCGAUCCGAUUCCGAUCCGAUCAUCACCGAUCGUUCUAGGGUUUUUGUGGAGGAGGGUCCUCCUACGAUUGAUCGGUGAUGGCUUCUUCUAGGGUUAUGGUUGAUGCUUUUAUCGAUGAGGGUGAUGUCUCAAGGAGACAAGGACACGCUUCUCUUCUUCUAAAUUCUUCAAGGGUCUUCAAG